rnacentral:rRNA from 1 species
AGAGGGUGCGAGCGUUGUUCGGAAUUAUUGGGCGUAAAGCGCUUGUAGGCGGUCAAUCAAGUCCUGUGUGAAAGCCCAUGGCUUAACCAUGGAAGUGCGCAGGAAACUGAUGGACUUGAGUGCCGGAGAGGGUCGCGGAAUUCCCGGUGUAGAGGUGAAAUUCGUAGAUAUCGGGAGGAACACCAGUGGCGAAGGCGGCGACCUGGACGGACACUGACGCUGAGACGCGAAAGCGUGGGGAGCAAACAGGAUUAGAUACCCUGGUAGUCCACGCUGUAAACGAUGGGUGCUAGGUGUGGCGGGUUUUGACCCCUGCCGUGCCGCAGCUAACGCAAUAAGCACCCCGCCUGGGAAGUACGGCCGCAAGGCUA